GUGGAAUGAAAAAUAACCAGCUAUUUUGCUAGCAAUUCAAAGAGAAAAAUAAAAUUGCAAUCUCAUACAAAUUGGAAUCUAGGACAAAGCUUUUCAUUUAUGGGAAGGAAGGCUCAGCUGGAAGAGAUGACAGCUAUGGAAACAAGCUGUCCUUGGAUUAGUGGGAUGUUUUCCAGGAUGAGAUGUGAUCAUGCAGACAGAGGCCAGCAUCGUGCUGCUGCAUAGAAGGGGCUUGGUAAGUGAAUGUUACCCCUAAAGACACCAGAUCUGACCUUCAGCUCUCCUGCAAACGGCCUAGAACAGUGAAUUACAUAGUCCUAUAAGGAGUCAGUUAGUGAUUGAUCCAGGGUGAUUCUGAAUUUAUUCUGAGUAAUGAAUUCUGAUUCUGUUCUUAUUUAACUAGCUUUAAAAGUGAGGAAGGAAAAGAAAGAUUAUUUUUGACAGGUUGUUUAUAAUUUCACAAGAAAAUCAGUCACUGAGUUAAAAGUUCUAUCAGUUCACUCAUUGCUCUAAGCCUUGUGACAGAAUCCACUGUAUUGAAAUCCUUGCCAGACUCCUC
rnacentral:lncRNA from 1 species